rnacentral:tRNA from 2 species
UCUAAUAUGGCAGAUUAGUGCAAUGGAUUUAAGUCCCAUAUAUAAAGUUGACCUUUUUUUAGAU